UACAGAGGGUGCGAGCGUUGUCCGGAAUUACUGGGCGUAAAGGGCGCGUAGGCGGCUUGGUAAGUCGGGGGUGAAAGUCAGCGGCUCAACCGCUGGACUGCCUUCGAGACUGCCUGGCUUGAGCAUGGUAGAGGCUGGCGGAAUUCCCGGUGUAGCGGUGGAAUGCGUAGAGAUCGGGAAGAACAUCGGUGGCGAAGGCGGCCAGCUGGGCCAUUGCUGACGCUGAUGCGCGAAAGCGUGGGGAGCAAACAGG
rnacentral:rRNA from 1 species